GCGGGUAUGGUGCAACGGCAACACGCUUCCUUCCCAAGGAAGAAAUACGGGUUCGACUCCCGUUACCCGCAC
rnacentral:tRNA from 1 species